UACGUAGGGCGCGAGCGUUGUCCGGAAUUAUUGGGCGUAAAGAGCUCGUAGGUGGCUUGUUGCGUCUGCCGUGAAAGCCCGUGGCUUAACUACGGGUCUGCGGUGGAUACGGGCAGGCUAGAGGCUGGUAGGGGCAAGCGGAAUUCCUGGUGUAGCGGUGAAAUGCGCAGAUAUCUGGAGGAACACCGGUGGCGAAGGCGGCAUCCUGGACCGACAUUGACGCUGAGGCGCGAAAGCCAGGGGAGCAAACGGG
rnacentral:rRNA from 1 species